rnacentral:rRNA from 1 species
UACGUAGGGGGCUAGCGUUGUUCGGAUUCACUGGGCGUAAAGGGUGCGUAGGCGGUCGGGUAAGUCUGAUGUGAAAUCUCCAAGCCUAACUUGGAAACUGCAUUGGAUACUAUCCGGCUCGAGGAAUGGAGGGGAGACUGGAAUACUUGGUGUAGCAGUGAAAUGCGUAGAUAUCAAGUGGAACACCAGUGGCGAAGGCGAGUCUCUGGACAUUUCCUGACGCUGAGGCACGAAAGCCAGGGGAGCAAACGGG